GAGGGUAUAGCUCAGUGGUAAAGCGCAUACCUAGUAUGCAUGAGGUCCUGGGUUCAAUCCCCAGCACCUCUG
rnacentral:tRNA from 1 species